rnacentral:rRNA from 1 species
UCCAGGGGGCCGCCUUCGCCACCGGUAUUCCUCCAGAUCUCUACGCAUUUCACCGCUACACCUGGAAUUCUACCCCCCUCUACAAGACUCUAGUUUGCCAGUUCGAAAUGCAAUUCCCAGGUUGAGCCCGGGGCUUUCACAUCUCGCUUAACAAACCGCCUGCGCACGCUUUACGCCCAGUAAUUCCGAUUAACGCUUGGACCCUCCGUAUUACCGCGGCUGCUGGCACGGAGUUAGCCGGUCCUUCUUCUGUAGGUAACGUCACAGCUGCAAGGUAUUAACUUACGACCUUUCCUCCCUACUGAAAGUGCUUUACAACCCGAAGGCCUUCUUCACACACGCGGCAUGGCUGCAUCAGGGUUUCCCCCAUUGUGCAAUAUUCCCCACUGCUGCCUCCCGUAGGAGUCUGGGCCGUGUCUCAGUCCCAGUGUGGCUGAUCAUCCUCUCAGAACAGCUAGGGAUCGUCGCCUUGGUGAGCCAUUACCUCACCAACUAGCUAAUCCCACCUAGGUUCAUCCAAUCGCGGAAGGCCCGAAGGUCCCCUCCUUUCCCCCGUAGGGCGUAUGCGGUAUUAGCAGUCGUUUCCAACUGUUAUCCCCCACGACUGGGCAGAUCCCUAGGCAUUACUCACCCGUCCGCCGCUCGCCACCUCAGGAGUAAACUCCCUUGUGCUGCCGCUCGACUUGCAUGUGUUAGGCC